rnacentral:sRNA from 2 species
CAAAAUGACGAGUUGGCUUGAUUUGCCGCUUCAGCUCUCGCGCGUGCCUGGCAGCGCCGCCUGCUGGGCGCGGCGGGCGAUGCGGACAUGUUCUGGGCCCCUUUCACCAUCCAUUCAAGAACAGUGUGACCGCUUCUGAUUGGACGUUGUGUUCGAUUGCUUCAGGUUGUUACGGGUGAGCAGCGUGGAAUAAUCCCUUAAUUCAUCCGAAGUAUCUAUUGCUUCCCCCUCUCUCUUUAGCUUUAGUUUUUUCUUCAGGAGUUCAAGUGGAGGAUUCUUGUAUUUGUAAACUGAGUUAUCUUCUCCCUGACAGAGGAAUUGGCAAUGGACUACUCUGUACUUUGCCAAAAGCACCAUUCUCAGGGAUAUAUGCUCCAUGCAAUGGACAAACAUGGCACUCCUGAGCAUGGUUUUUAUCAUCGCCAACCAGUGGAGAUAUGAACACAGCAAACGCUCUUCGUGACGGGGAUAUUUUCAAAACAGCAAGUUGCAUGUGCAUGUUAAUGUGCAGUACAUACAUGUGGGUGGACAUGAACAUACAGUACAUACAUACAUAUUGAUUGUAUCUAAAUCAUUUACGUAGGAAUUUCACUUGGUAAUCAUGAUUCUCAGCAAAUUCCUCUCCCGAGUUCUUAUAUCUGGAGUAGGUCUCAGCCAGGUGUGGGCGAAAUGUUCUACAUUUGCUCAACUACUCGUAUCGCAGGCGCUUUAAAGAGCGGAUGGUCUACUGGUUACAUUGAGAGAGAACUGGCUGCUUGCUCCUUACUUCUGACCAGGAGAAAAGGGGAACCUCCACCACCACUGGUUACAUACAAUAUC